CUACUUAGCACUGAAGAGCUCUUUCAUUCUGCGUACAUACAGGAGCAAUACAAGAGCCUGUGGCUAUCUGAUGAUACCUCAGUUUUGUCUUCACUAUGAUGGGCAGCAGAUAUUCACCUCAAUUCUUAUUGGAUCUUUUUAAUUGGAGAUGCCAGGAAUUGCACUGUGGCAAGGCUUUCUUCCCCUGUUUUAUGAUCAAAACAGACCUAUGACGUAGAUCAGGCUGAGGAUGUCCACCCAGCCUGACUCAAGAACUGAAUACCAUAACAAGAAUUUUGCAGGAUCAAGCCAGAUGAUUAUCUAGCUCGGUAUCCAGGAGGGGGUUUGGGGGGAAUGCUUGUUUGCUUGUUUGUUUGUUGUUUAUGCAGUGGUGGUUUAAAUGCUCAUAGAAAACUCAAAAGCAGGACAAGAGGGCAAUCCCAGCUUCCCAUUGUUAUUUUAUAGCAACUGUGUUUUUAAAAAAGCGUGCUUCCUGUAGACCAUUUGUAGUUCUGGACACAAUUUUUGAUCCAAAAUGUUGCCCAUCCAUCAACAUCAUCAUCUUAGAAUUGCAGAGCUGGAAGGGGUCCUAUGGAUCAUCAAGUCCGGCCCCACAUGGUGGGGAGUCGAAUUCCCAGCCUCUGGCUAUGCAACCAUAUACCUAAACAACUACAAUCCAGUUUAUGGAGAAUUUAUGAAUUAAUUCCUUCACAAAGGUCUUAUCAUUAACAGCCCUGCUCAGGCCAAUCAGUACAUUUCUUACUAUUUGUACCAGUUCUGUAGGCUACACAUGCCAUCCAAGGUCCCCACUGCCCUAAAAAUGGUCUGUUAAAAAAAUUCAGUACCUAUAACUAAAACAGUAUUAACAUGCCAUUUUCCUGUCACUUCACACUGUUAGUUUAUGCACCACCUGGUAGGAUAUGUCACUAUAUAAAUUGAGUGCAUCAUUAAAAGGGACUUGAAUUGUUGAUGAAAACCUGGGGGGGAAUUAACUAUAAGUCACACGAAAGUGGGUACAAUGGGUACAAUGGGGAAGACAUCUACUAAAUGAAACACAGGUAAACUGUUGUGGAAAAAAUAUAAAAGAAAAGGCAAGCAAUGUAUCACUAAGCACUUAACAAAAUUGUUUUAAGGUACAGGUGUAGUGGCCAUGAAGUGGCCAUGGCAACCCCAAACCCAACCCAUUUGCAAACUAAACAGAUGAACAGCAAUAUUCACAUGUGCCAAAACGACAAGGAUUGAAGCAAUACAGGGAUUGGAUCAUUUUAAAAACGCCAUGCUGGCAAGUUGGGAAAAACUGAUUAGCUGCCUAAAUGAAUCAAUGUUACCCAUGCAUCAUGUGAAUGGAAAUUUAUAAAACAAUUUACAGUGGU